UACGUAGGGUGCGAGCGUUGUCCGGAAUUAUUGGGCGUAAAGAGCUCGUAGGCGGUCUGUCACGUCGGAUGUGAAAACUCGGGGCUCAACCCCGAGCCUGCAUUCGAUACGGGCAGACUAGAGUUCGGUAGGGGAGACUGGAAUUCCUGGUGUAGCGGUGAAGUGCGUAGAUAUCAGGAGGAACACCGGCGGCGAAGGCGGCCCUCUGGACCGUUGCUGACGCUGAGACGCGAAAGCGUGGGGAGCAAACAGG
rnacentral:rRNA from 1 species